GAUGAACGCUGGCGGCGUGCCUAAUACAUGCAAGUCGAGCGAACGGACGAGAAGCUUGCUUCUCUGAUGUUAGCGGCGGACGGGUGAGUAACACGUGGAUAACCUACCUAUAAGACUGGGAUAACUUCGGGAAACCGGAGCUAAUACCGGAUAAUAUUUUGAACCGCAUGGUUCAAAAGUGAAAGACGGUCUUGCUGUCACUUAUAGAUGGAUCCGCGCUGCAUUAGCUAGUUGGUAAGGUAACGGCUUACCAAGGCAACGAUGCAUAGCCGACCUGAGAGGGUGAUCGGCCACACUGGAACUGAGACACGGUCCAGACUCCUACGGGAGGCAGCAGUAGGGAAUCUUCCGCAAAGGGCGAAAGCCUGACGGAGCAACGCCGCGUGAGUGAUGAUGGUCUUCGGAUCGUAAAACUCUGUUAUUAGGGAAGAACAUAUGUGUAAGUAACUGUGCACAUCUUGACGGUACCUAAUCAGAAAGCCACGGCUAACUACGUG
rnacentral:rRNA from 1 species